rnacentral:lncRNA from 1 species
UUGUGGAUGAUGCUUGAUCAUGAUUUAUUUGAGGAAUUUUUGAAAUGUUUGUGAUUGAAUUUGAGUUGAGUCAUUCUGUUGACUUCUUUGAGGUUCCAUAUGCCAUGCUUUGACCUAAUCUGCUUGUGAAAUGAUGAUGAUGAAUGAUGUGAAUGUGAAACCACUUGAGUUUGCUUCUUGAUUGAUUUGUUUUGACUUUGUGCCCUUGUCCCUU